rnacentral:lncRNA from 1 species
AAUUAAAAAUUACUCAACCCUAAUAAAAAUUUUGUAUUCACGUCUCUGCCCUACUGCCCUGCUGCUAUUAUUUUUUCGACAACUGCUUUGCUACUUCACGUUCCUGCCCUGUUAUAUUUUUUCCAGCAACUGUUUUGCUGCUUCAAUUACUCUGCUUCACGUCUCUGCCCUACUGUUAUUUUUUUUCCAGCAACUGCUUUGUUGCUGAUUUGCUUUGGUUUCUAUCUUCCGAAAUAAUAAUUCUAUCUUCACGUCUCUGCCUUGCUGCUAUUAAUUUUUUUCUGGCAACUGCUUUGCUGCUUCACGUCUCUGCUUCACGUGUCUACCCUAUUGUUAUUUUUUCCAACAACUGCUUUGCUGCUGAUUUGCGUUGGUUUUUUGGCGUGGCUGCCGCAAUUUAUUUUACAGGUGAGGGUUUUUUUUUCUAUUAUGCUAAAAUAGAUAGGAAAGCAAGAAAGCCAAUGCUAGUUCCUAAUAAUUAAAUGAAUAGUUUAAACUAUUCUUGAGCAAAAAACAAGGAUCUAAUCUUUAGGCAGCUUUUCAUGUAAUACAAUAUAAUUAAAUAGUUUUAAAUAAAAUUAGUGAAUUCUAGCAUUAUGCUCAAUUAGAUCAACAUGUUAGGUUAUUUUGUAUAAGUUGGAAAUAUUGGUUGUAAGUUCAUUGUGUUUGGGUUCUCGAACCUGAGAUCCUGACCAUUGGAAUAAGCAGUAUCCUAGAAGUGGAAUUGAUGGCUUGAAAAUGAUGAAAAGAUUACCAAUAUAUCUAAUAUUAGUCAUUUUUAUAUCUGUUCACUAUCAACCACUGAGGCGGAACUUUUAGUAAUUGAUCAUGCUAUUCAUUGUGGAAAACUAUAAAUUGCCUAUGACAAAUGUCAGCAUUGAUUGCUGGAAGGUAAUAGAGAUUUUAUUUCUGGAUAUGGAUUACAACAUGCAGGUUCCUUUUAACAUUUGCACUGGGAGCUGGUCCUGUUCCAGGUCUCCUCUUACCUGAAAUUUUCCUUAAUCGAAUCUGGGCAAAAGCUAUGGCGUUCUGUAUGUUAGUGCACUGGGUUAUUUUCUCCUCUUUUCUUUCUCUUUCUCUUCCAUAUCAUUUUUCCGAAGAGAUUGUGAUAGCUUUCGCAGCUCCGCAAGCUAGGAUAUGAAAUUAUUAGGAAACAAAAUAGAAAUAGAGAAUCUUAUUGCUAUCUUCUGAUGUUAUUUUUCUUGGUUGCUUUUACAUUGCUCUUCAGGUAAUCAAUUUCUUCGUUGGUUUGCUCUUCCUGUGCUUGCUACAGCAACUUGGUCCACAGCUCUUAUACUUGAUUUUCGCCAGUGUUUGCAUGAUGGAAGAAUUUGACAAUAAAGUCACCAAACUCCAGCAAGGAGCAACAAGAACGCUAUAGCUAAACAAGCGCAUGUAAUAACUAUUACUCUGCCUUUGUUCUCUUCAAGUUCCUCGUGAUGUUUCAAUGAAAUUGCAGGUUUUAGAAAGGCCACCUUCAAAAACAAACUGUUGUAAUAUUUAUCAUUGUGAUUCAAUUUACAAACAAAUUAAGUGUUGAUAUUGUGCAUAUUUAGUUUAGCUUCAAUUUUGGCUAUUCUAUUCAACAAUCGUUUUAAUAUAGCAACUAAUUGGUUAUUGUGGAUGUUUCACUUGCUCAGCGAAAAAGUGCAGAUUUUAA